UACGUAGGGGGCGAGCGUUGUCCGGAUUUAUUGGGCGUAAAGAGCUCGUAGGCGGUUCGGUAAGUCGGAUGUGAAAUCUCCACGCUCAACGUGGAGGGGCCAUUCGAUACUGCCGUGACUCGAGUCCGGUAGGGGAGUGUGGAAUUCCCGGUGUAGCGGUGAAAUGACGCAGAGAUCGGGAGGAACACCCGUGGCGAAAGCGGCUCUCUGGGACGGUACUGACGCUGAGACGCGAAAGCGUGGGGAGCAAACAGG
rnacentral:rRNA from 1 species